UACGUAGGGGGCAAGCGUUGUCCGGAAUCAUUGGGCGUAAAGAGCGUGUAGGCGGCUCGGUAAGUCCGCUGUGAAAGUCCAGGGCUCAACCCUGGAAAGCCGGUGGAAACUGUCGAGCUCGAGUCCGGAAGAGGCGAGUGGAAUUCCGAGUGUAGAGGUGAAAUUCGUAGAUAUUCGGAGGAACACCAGUGGCGAAGGCGACUACCUGGCCUGUUCUUGACGCUGAGGCGCGAAAGCUAGGGGAGCAAACGGG
rnacentral:rRNA from 1 species